UUGGUAAAAAUGACGAAAGUGUUUGGUUCUGCGACAUAACAUUCAGUUGGGUGGUGGGAUAUCCACGGACAAAUUUUACUGAGGGUACUACGAGCGUCUUCGUUGACAUGCGAAUAACGGUGUCAGGAAAAGAAGUCAAACGUGUCUUCGAUAUCAUAGAAGCGGAACGAUACGAUGUUGUAUACCUGCCGGGAUACUUACUGAGGGAUGUAUGCAGUCGUCCUGAUUUGUCAGAUAAAUUAAUAUUCGUGAAAAGCUUUGUGUUGUCAGGCGAACGUAUUUCUCGUUCAGCGGAGACCGAGUUGCAAAAUAUCGCUCCUACAGCUUCACUCCACUCCUACUAUGGAACCACAGAGACGGGCGGCACUGCUUCGUAUACAAUGACGGAUCCCUCACAGUGGGAAGAUGGCAUUAUUGGUUCGCCGUUCCGGGGUGUUGAGAUGAAACUAGUGGAUGACAAUUGGUGUGAAGUACCAAAAGGUUAAUCCGGCGAAUUGCUUGUCCGCUGUGCAUGGCGGUUUAGAGGGUAUAAGACCAAAGAAUUCGGAGUUGAUGACCUAAACUGUUUUCACACCGGCGACGUAGCCUUUCUUCGAGACAACUAUCAGUUGGUUAUAAACGGCCGUAAAAAGGAACUUAUCUCGAUUGGCACAUCGAAGUUCUUACCUUGGCAAAUUGAACGAUCUGAAGGCAUAAAAAUAGGUCUAUUGCUGUGGUAGUUGUGGUCGAUAGCUGCCAAUAGGUUGCGGAUUCUGUACACAGGCGGUGUAUAUGCAAACCUCUUUGCACAGUACAUCAAAAUUAACUGGUGGAACACUUCUAUGUCAGCAGUGGUUCUGAAAUAAUAGGACACAAUUAUAAACUUUUGAAAAUGUUUCCAUGUUGGCUUUAUUGAAUUCCUGAUGAGCAUCACAUAAAGUUAAAAAUACAAAAAAAUAUAUUGAAAAACUAACAUAAACAAAUUACCUGUAAU